GUGUCAGCAGCCGCGGUAAUACGUAGGGGGCGAACGUUGCUCGGAAUUACUGGGCGUAAAGGGUGUGUAGGCGGUCCGGCAAGUCGUCUGUGAAAGCCCCUGGCUUAACUGGGGGAGGCCGGGCGAUACUGCCGGGCUAGAAGGCGACAGAGGAAGGUGGAACGGCCAGAGUAGCGGUGAAAUGCGUAGAUACUGGCCGGUACCCCGAUGGCGAAGGCAACCUUCUGGGUCGUCCCUGACGCUGAAGCGCGAAAGCGUGGGGAGCAAACCGGAUUAGAUACCCGGGUAGUCCACGCCCUAAACGAUGUGGGCUAGGUGUCGGCCCGUCACUGGGUCGGUGCCGCAGCUAACGCGUUAAGCCCACCGCCUGGGGAGUACGGCCGCAAGGCUGAAACUCAAAGGAAUUGACGGGG
rnacentral:rRNA from 1 species